UACAGAGGUCUCAAGCGUUGUUCGGAUUCAUUGGGCGUAAAGGGCGCGUAGGUGGGCUGUCAAGUCCGGGGUGAAAGCCCCCCGCUCAACGGGGGAAUGGCCUUGGAUACUGGCGGUCUUGAGGAAGGUAGGGGCGUGUGGAACUUCCGGUGGAGCGGUGAAAUGCGUAGAUAUCGGAAGGAACGCCGGUGGCGAAAGCGACACGCUGGACCUUUUCUGACACUGAGGCGCGAAAGCCAGGGGAGCGAACGGG
rnacentral:rRNA from 1 species